rnacentral:misc_RNA from 1 species
GGGGUCUUCCAUCACGAUUACGUCUUUGAAGAGAGCAAGUUUUUAGGACAGCUCAUUUUGUGUUAUAAUAAUAAAAAUUAGGGAAAUUUUCCCUAAAAAAAUUAUGGGAUGUCGCAGGUUCGCUAAUGUAAUAAUUGCUCGAAAAUUUCCAUGUGAGCAUUGAUGUGUGAGCAUUGCUUCUAUCAUUAUCAUGUAUCAUAUUCAUGGGCAGUGGAGAUGGGGCGGUGGAAGGGCCCUUUGCUUCUAUCAUUAUCAUUUAUCAUAUUCAUGGGCCGUGGAGAUGGGUUGGUGGGAUGCUUUUAAUUAGUGAAAUGGUUUUUAUUUUGCCAAGGUUGUUUCCCUCCUACCAAUAAAAUUAAUUUUCUUUUCUUUUCAGAAAGAGUUGGCAAAAGUUUGAAUUUAUAGGCUUUAAAUUCA